rnacentral:lncRNA from 1 species
AGAUCACCGAGCUGACUCUUGAGAAGCUGUCAGUGUUACUGCAGAUGGCUUUGGCUCUUCAUUCACAUUCUCGGAUUCUUCUGCUGCUAGCUAGAAGGAGGAAAAUAGCUACUGAUGCUAAGAAAAUAAAAAAAGGCAAAAUAUCCUCUAAGCUAAAGGAGAGAACACUUUCAAAAGCAAGCACAGGCCCAGGAUUAUCAACUGUGUCAACAGGAGGACAAAAAGGUGAAGUUGAUGGCAUUUUUCUUAUUUUCCUGUGUUAUAGGCAUGGAUUAUCUUCAGUCAUCUUGAAUUUUAUCCAUCACUGGAAAGAUUCUCUUGGACUGCAUGAGCUUUAGUGUCUUUUCUGAUAGGAACACACGAUUGACAAGCAUGCAUUUGCCAUCACAGAGCACACGCUGAUUUCGGGCAGAAAUGACAAGAGCCUCGACUUCAGUCUCUGUGAAGGGCAGGACCCCAAGAAAGGUCCAGCUUGCUUUGCAUGGUGGAGAAUUGCUCGUCAGUGCUUCCACCUCCUUUUUCCUAAGAGUUUCGAUGUCAUCUCGUUACAAAGGCCACUCGGGUUGGCACUUUCACCACCCU